GCUCCGGUAGCCCAAUGGCAGAGGCAGCGCGCUCAAACCGCGCCCAGUGUGCGUUCGAAUCGCACCCGGAGCACCA
rnacentral:tRNA from 1 species